UGACGUUUUAAUCUUCAUCCAGAAGCAAAAGGUUGAGACCAUAAAUUGUGUGCCUUUACAUUAGAACAAAUUACGAGGAGUUCGCUGGGGCUGUGACGUUUUAAUCUUCAUCCAGAAGCAAAAAGUUGGGACCAUUAAUUGUGUGCCUUUACCUAAUUAGCACCAAUUACGAGGAGUUCGUUGGUGUUGUGACGUUUUAAUCUUCAUCCAGAAGCAAAAGGUUGCUCAAUUUUUUUUUUAUUUUUUCUUUUUUAUUUUAAACUCUCACUUUAAAGUCAAAGACUCAUAUAUCUUCGACGUAUUUUUCAUUAGAAGCAGUUAUUUUCAGUAUCCAAAGAGAUUUCUUACUUUUUCACUUUUUCACUGAAUGAUGUUUGAACGUCGAAGUCUAAUGGAAUUCGAC
rnacentral:lncRNA from 1 species